AGCGAACGCUGGCGGCAGGCCUAACACAUGCAAGUCGAACGAAGUCUUCGGACUUAGUGGCGGACGGGUGAGUAACACGUGGGAACGUGCCUUUAGGUUCGGAAUAACUCAGGGAAACUUGUGCUAAUACCGAAUGUGCCCUUCGGGGGAAAGAGUUAUCGCCUUUAGAGCGGCCCGCGUCUGAUUAGCUAGUUGGUGAGGUAAAGGCUCACCAAGGCUACGAUCAGUAGCUGGUCUGAGAGGAUGACCAGCCACAUUGGGACAGAGACACGGCCCGAACUCCUACGGGAGGCAGCAGUGGGGAAUCUUGCGCAAUGGGCGAAAGCCUGACGCAGCCAUGCCGCGUGGAUGAUGAAGGUCUUAGGAUUGUAAAAUCCUUUCACCGGUGAAGAUAAUGACUGUAGCCGGAGAAGAAGCCCCGGCUAACUUCGUGCCAGCAGCCGCGGUAACAC
rnacentral:rRNA from 1 species